UACGUAGGAUCCAAGCGUUGUCCGGAUUUACUGGGUGUAAAGGGUGCGCAGGCGGACUUAUAAGUCAGAGGUGAAAUCUCACUGCUCAACAGUGAAACUGCCUUUGAUACUGUAGGUCUUGAAUUAGGGAGAGAUUCGUGGAAUUCCGAGUGUAGCAGUGAAAUGUGUAGAUAUUCGGAAGAACACCAGUGGCGAAGGCGACUUCCUGGCCUGUUCUUGACGCUGAGGCGCGAAAGCUAGGGGAGCAAACGGG
rnacentral:rRNA from 1 species